UACGUAGGUGGCAAGCGUUGUCCGGAAUUAUUGGGCGUAAAGCGCGCGCAGGCGGUCCCUUAAGUCUGAUGUGAAAGCCCACGGCUCAACCGUGGAGGGUCAUUGGAAACUGGGGGACUUGAGUACAGAAGAGGAAAGCGGAAUUCCACGUGUAGCGGUGAAAUGCGUAGAGAUGUGGAGGAACACCAGUGGCGAAGGCGGCUUACUGGUCCGGUUCUGACGCUGAGGCGCGAAAGCGUGGGGAGCAAACAGG
rnacentral:rRNA from 1 species